UCAGCAAGUGCGGGCGCGGGCGCGAGGUUGCGGAGCGCGCGAGGAGUUGGGCCGGUUCGGCCCAAUUCGGCCGGGCCGGGCCGGUCCGUUUGCUCCUUUUUUUUUUCCUUUUACCCUUUUCUUUUUUCUGUUUUUCUUAUUCCUUUGAUAUCUUUUGAUUUUGUACUCCAAAUUGGUCCAAAUAAAUCCCAGAAAAUUUGUAAAAUCAUGUUCUAUCAUGAUACAACUUUUGGAAGUAGUUUCCCCUCAAAAUAAAAUAUAUAAAAAUACAUUUGCCCCAUAAAUGCCUCUAGGGCUAUAUAUCUAUUUAGAUAAAAUACUUUUUCAACUCCAAAUAAUUAUCCAAAAAUUAUGGGAUAGCUUAUAUAUGCAUUAAACCCCUUUUAUGCAUAAACUCGCCUAACCUCAUAGGUUAGCUAGAAAUAAAACAACUGUUUAGCAGCGGAAAGCGGAAGAUACAAGGGUACAUCAACACCACGGUGAGAGCAUGUUGGAAUGUAAGCCCGUAACCCAAAUAAGCAGAACGUUC
rnacentral:lncRNA from 1 species